AGGUUCUGUCCUUCAUUGGCCUAUUUCCUAUGCAGACAUACAUAAUCAAUUAGUAGAUAGGAUGAGUGGUGCAUCAAUUAAUCAAUUAGUUUUGGUGCCAAGUUGCAAUGGGUAAUGAACAUCUUUAAUAUCAUUUUCAAUUGACUAUUUUAGUGAAUUGUAUGCACUAAUUUUGUAUUUGUGUGUAGUUUCCAUUGGAAUUUGACUGUCAUUAAACCUCAUAAGGAGAUUGUUUAUGUGUUGGAUUCUUUAAGUCAUCGCAUUUGUGAUGAAGAUUGGAAAUAUGUUAUGGAAAUGGCAUUAAGAUUAUUUAAUUCGAACAAUGGAAGGAAAGGAAGAAAGCAUGUACAAUGGGAAGUAAUCAAGGCUCCUAGGCAGCCAGAUGCGAAACAAUGUGGUUAUUACGUGAUGAGAUUUAUGAGACAAAUUACUGAAGAAAUUGCAAUGAUCGAGGGGGAUACACUACCAUCAAUAUUCACAAAAGCGGAAUA